rnacentral:rRNA from 10 species
GUCUAUGGCCAUACCACCCUGAAUGUGCUUGAUCUCAUCUGAUCUCGUGAAGCCAAGCAGGGUGGGGCCUAGUUAGUACUUGGAUGGGAGACUUCCUGGGAAUAUAAGCUGCUGUUGGCU